ACUCCUACGGGAGGCAGCAGUAGGGAAUCUUCCACAAUGGGCGCAAGCCUGAUGGAGCAACACCGCAUGAGUGAAGAAGGGUUUCGGCUCGUAAAGCUCUGUUGUUAAAGAAGAACACGUAUGAGAGUAACUGUUCAUACGUUGACGGUAUUUAACCAGAAAGUCACGGCUAACUACGUGCCAGCAGCCGCGGUAAUACGUAGGUGGCAAGCGUUAUCCGGAUUUAUUGGGGCGUAAAGAGAGUGCAGGCGGUUUUCUAAGUCUGAUGUGAAAGCCUUCGGCUUAACCGGAGAAGUGCAUCGGAAACUGGAUAACUUGAGUGCAGAAGAGGGUAGUGGAACUCCAUGUGUAGCGGUGGAAUGCGUAGAUAUAUGGAAGAACACCAGUGGCGAAGGCGGCUACCUGGUCUGCAACUGACGCUGAGACUCGAAAGCAUGGGUAGCGAACAGGAUUAGAUACCCUGGUAGGAUAGCG
rnacentral:rRNA from 1 species